AUCCUUUUCUGGUUCAGAAGCAUGAUGAUUGGGUUUUCAUGCAUUUGUGUGACCUGAACCCUGUUACGACGUCGGCAUAUUACCGGUCUGACA
rnacentral:snoRNA from 1 species